rnacentral:rRNA from 1 species
CCUACGGGUGGCAGCAGUCGAGAAUCAUUCACAAUGGGGGAAACCCUGAUGGUGCGACGCCGCGUGGGGGAAUGAAGGUCUUCGGAUUGUAAACCCCUGUCAUGUGGGAGCAAAUUAAAAAGAUAGUACCACAAGAGGAAGAGACGGCUAACUCUGUGCCAGCAGUCGCGGUAAUACAGAGGUGUCAAGCGUUGUUCGGAAUCACUGGGCGUAAAGCGUGCGUAGGCUGUUUCGUAAGUCGUGUGUGAAAGGCGCGGGCUCAACCCGCGGACGGCACAUGAUACUGCGAGACUAGAGUAGUGGAGGGGGAACCGGAAUUCUCGGUGUAGCAGUGAAAUGCGUAGAUAUCGAGAGGAACACUCGUGGCGAAGGCGGGUUCCUGGACAUUAACUGACGCUGAGGCACGAAGGCCAGGGGAGCGAAAGGGAUUAGAUACCCGUGUAGUC